CCUGAAUUCGAAAGGGGUUGGAUUCAGAUCCUACCGUUCGCAUACUAGGCAGCCCCACUGCGGAUGGUGCCGGUCGCCCGCGGCGAUUAAUUUCGUUUGCGGUGUCGUUUCUGGCGUCCACCCGGUGGUGGCUGACCACCUUCGCGGAGGGUCGCACUUCUCCCCUAGUAGAAACGUCGCGACCCGUUGGGUGCCGGCCGAAGGCCCGGGAAGGAAGCCCGCGCAUCCUGUGGUGGUUGCCACAGGCGUGCGGACUCCCGGUGACCCGGCCGGCUGCCCGACGGUAUGACCAGAGGAGCCGAUCCGCUGAAUGGGAAACACUGUGGUUUGUGAAGCGUGCGGCCUGGCGCCGAUACGUGCGGGGAUUGAGGUGUAAACCGGGGGUGCCCGUGCGAAGCACGGUCCCGGCCCCGCUGCGUCGUCGGUUGCCGGUGUCCUCGCACUGGAUCGAUACUCCCGUCUGCGACGCCCAUCUUCGGAUGGUCUCCCGCCUGGGUCUUGAAUCAACGUACUAUUCUUCNCACAACAUUUCNUAGGACUNGNUGGAAUGCCACGUCGAUAUAUUGACUAUCCAGAUAUAUUCUUAUUGUGAAAUAUCUUAUCAUCAAUGGGAGCAAUAAUCUCAGCCUUAAGAAUAAUAGCAUUCUUUNC
rnacentral:rRNA from 1 species